rnacentral:rRNA from 1 species
AAUGAACGUUGGCGGCGUGGAUUAGGCAUGCAAGUCGAGCGAGAACCCGCAAGGGGGACAGCGGCAAACGGGGUAGUAACGGGUAGGCAACGUACCCUCGGGACGGGGAUAGCCACGGGAAACUGUGGGUAAUACCCGAUAAUCUCCUGGAGAUUUAUUUUCCGGGAGCAAAGGUGAGAUUCCACCUGAGGAGCGGCCUGCUUCGUAUUAGCUAGUUGGUGAGGUAACGGCUCACCAAGGCUUCGAUGCGUAGGGGGUGUGAGAGCAUGACCCCCACCACUGGGACUGAGAUACUGCCCAGACACCUACGGGUGGCUGCAGUCGAGAAUCUUCGGCAAUGGGCGAAAGCCUGACCGAGCGACGCCGCGUGUGGGAUGAAGGCCCUUGGGUUGUAAACCACUGUCAGAGGGGAUGAAGUGCAUGUGAGUUAUCUCAUGUGUUUGACAUAGCCUCAGAGGAAGCACGGGCUAAGUUCGUGCCAGCAGCCGCUGUAAUAC